CGUUUUAAGUGGCGGAAAUAAUAGUGACGAUUUAAUUAUAUAAUUAAUGGUUCUUCCGGAGGACAUGGACUUUGACGAUAUGGUAAUGGAAACUCUGGCCAACCACUGUUGUUCUGUAGUGCAAUGGGUAGCACACGCGACUCAACCGAGAAUUCAUGAGUUCCUUCCCGGGCGGAGUGGAGAGGGAUGGGCAGUCUCUCUCCACCCGCGCCGCGAUCCAUUCAUCAGUGAGAGGGUGUCAGGUGACAGGCAGCGGCAGCGUCCUGCCUCUCAGGUUUGUUUGUUUUAGGAUUGUUACCCCAGGAUGGAGGGGAGCACGGGGCUCUACGCCUCACAGGGUGGUGGUGUGCCGCGGCGGGCAUGCAGCCAUAGAGUGACUUUAUAAAGGCCUAACCCGCGUCCCCCAGGUUCUCUUCGCAGUGCUGAGUCCAUCCCCCUACAGGAGCUAACAGCUGGCUUGCAGCCCCUAAAUUAUGUGGUCGAGCCGGAUCAGCCCUUUCAACCCGCAAUCCAUUGGUGGAUUGUCUUCGCCAUUGUCGUGAUCCUGGUUCUUCUGCUGGUGACGUCUGCCGUGGGGUAUUCCUAUGUCCUACGCUACGCACGACGCCGCCUAAUUCCAGACUCGAACCAACUGCAGACAUUGCAAGGCGUAUCUUCUCCACCAACACCUGUGAGAUCUCAGGGGCGAGAUC